ACGGUUAAAUGAGGGCCUAACUGUCUCCCGCGGCCGACCAAUGAAACUGAUCUUCCAGUAAAAAAGCUGAAAUAAACACACAAGACGAGAAGACCCUGUGGAGCUUUAAACUAAUACACCACCAAAUCAACCUAAUGUCCACAUGAUCCAAUAACAAAAUGAUGGUGUAAAUUUUAAGUUGGGGCGACUACGGAAUAAAAAAAAACUCCCAUGAAAAGGAUAUGAUAUCCAUUUAAGGUCCACAAGCCAAAAAUACCAAACCAUGACCCAGUAAUACUGACCACCGAACCAAGUUACCCCAGGGAUAACAGCGCAAUCCUCUUCCAGAGUUCCUAUCGCCAAGAGGGUUUACGACCUCGAUGUUGGAUCAGGGCCCCCAGGCGGUGCAGCCGCUGCCAAUGGUUCGUUUGUUCAACGAUUAAUGCCCUACGUGAUCU
rnacentral:rRNA from 1 species